rnacentral:rRNA from 1 species
UCGGGAAUUUUGGGCAAUGGGCGAAAGCCUGACCCAGCAACGCCGCGUGAAGGAUGAAGUAUUUCGGUAUGUAAACUUCGUAAGAAUAGGAAGAAUAAAUGACGGUACUAUUUGUAAGGUCCGGCUAACUACGUGCCAGCAGCCGCGGUAAUACGUAGGGACCAAGCGUUGUUCGGAUUUACUGGGCGUAAAGGGCGCGUAGGCGGUGUGUCAAGUCAGUUGUGAAAUCUCCGAGCUUAACUCGGAACGGUCAACUGAUACUGUCACACUAGAGUACAGAAGGGGCAAUCGGAAUUCUUGGUGUAGCGGUGAAAUGCGUAGAUAUCAAGAGGAACACCUGAGGCGAAGGCGGGUUGCUGGGCUGAUACUGACGCUGAGGCGCGAAAGCUAGGGUAGCAAACGGGGAUUAGAUACCCCAGUAGUCCCUGAGCGGGCUGGCAAGGCGCAU